CACAGAGGAGCUUGCUCCUUGGGUGACGAGCGGCGGACGGGUGAGUAAAGUCUGGGGAUCUGCCUGAUGGAGGGGGAUAACUACUGGAAACGGUAGCUAAUACCGCAUGACGUCUUCGGACCAAAGUGGGGGACCUUCGGGCCUCACGCCAUGAGAUGAACCCAGAUGGGAUUAGCUGGUAGGUGAGGUAACGGCUCACCUAGGCGACGAUCCCUAGCUGGUCUGAGAGGAUGACCAGCCACACUGGAACUGAGACACGGUCCAGACUCCUACGGGAGGCAGCAGUGGGGAAUAUUGCACAAUGGGGGAAACCCUGAUGCAGCCAUGCCGCGUGUGUGAAGAAGGCCUUCGGGUUGUAAAGCACUUUCAGCGGGGAGGAAGGCAAUAAACUUAAUAAGUUUGUUGAUUGACGUUACCCGCAGAAGAAGCACCGGCUAACUCCGUGCCAGCAGCCGCGGUAAUACGGAGGGUGCAAGCGUUAAUCGGAAUGACUGGGCGUAAAGCGCACGCAGGCGGUCUGUUAAGUUGGAUGUGAAAUCCCCGGGCUCAACCCGGGAACAGCAUUCAAAACUGACAGGCUAGAGUCUCGUAGAGGGGGGUAGAAUUCCAGGUGUAGCGGUGAAAUGCGUAGAGAUCUGGAGGAAUACCGGUGGCGAAGGCGGCCCCCUGGACGAAGACUGACGCUCAGGUGCGAAAGCGUGGGGAGCAAACAGGAUUAGAUACCCUGGUAGUCCACGCCGUAAACGAUGUCGACUUGGAGGCUGUGGUCUUGAACCGUGGCUUCCGGAGCUAACGCGUUAAGUCGACCGCCUGGGGAGUACGGCCGCAAGGUUAAAACUCAAAUGAAUUGACGGGGGCCCGCACAAGCGGUGGAGCAUGUGGUUUAAUUCGAUGCAACGCGAAGAACCUUACCUACUCUUGACAUCCAGAGAAGACUGUAGAGAUACGGUUGUGCCUUCGGGAGCUCUGAGACAGGUGCUGCAUGGCUGUCGUCAGCUCGUGUUGUGAAAUGUUGGGUUAAGUCCCGCAACGAGCGCAACCCUUAUCCUUUGUUGCCAGCGAUACGGUCGGGAACUCAAAGGAGACUGCCGGUGAUAAACCGGAGGAAGGUGGGGAUGACGUCAAGUCAUCAUGGCCCUUACGAGUAGGGCUACACACGUGCUACAAUGGCGCAUACAAAGAGAAGCGAGCCUGCGAGGGUGAGCGGACCUCAUAAAGUGCGUCGUAGUCCGGAUUGGAGUCUGCAACUCGACUCCAUGAAGUCGGAAUCGCUAGUAAUCGUAGAUCAGAAUGCUACGGUGAAUACGUUCCCGGGCCUUGUACACACCGCCCGUCACACCAUGGGAGUGGGUUGCAAAAGAAGUAGGUAGCUUAA
rnacentral:rRNA from 1 species